GCAGCUGGGGCUGCUGGGGGCUGUGGAUUUCCUCUCACAGCUUCGGAGCGCGGGUCAGGAGCUUCUGGCUGUACCUUAAGCUGCUCCUUCUGACACCACAUUAGUGGUGCGUAGUCCUGAGGCACAAAUCUAUUGAGUGGCCGAGGGAGCUGGUGGGGCUCAGCUUGUAGAAAAGGGAGCUCAGGGAGACCUUCUCGCUCCCUGCGACCACCUGACAAGGGGUCGUGGCCAGAAUUCCCCCUUUUGUCGAGUGGCACCCUGCUGCUUCCUAGAGGAUGGCACCCAGGACGGUGAAGAGGAGGGGACAUCGAGUCGGCGUGCAAAUGACAUCGGAACCAGCGUGUAACAGGAGAAGCCCCUCACCAAACCUCGCAAAAAACCCCUAAAAACAAUGAGCCAACACAAAAUUGACGAAUCAAAGUGAUGUCUAGACGUGAGGAACAGAAUCCAGUGUCCGCUAAGAUCCUUUUCACCCCUAACCUAAAAGAUGUCGGCUAGACGGAGGACUUCGAAAACUGGAAGAUCGGGAAUCUCCUGAAGCUCUCUUGAGGAUGGAAGGCCCUACUUUGCCUGCAUACCAAUAGACAAAGCUGCACUUUUUCUCCUCCUCUGUCACUCCUGGAAGCGGUGGUGGCAUGAGUGUGACCCGUCGGUUCUCCACUACCGAGCUGGAGCUGAUCACUUUUAAUAAAGGCAAAAAAAAGGAAAAA